CCAGGAUGGGCUUGAACUGUGAUCCUCCUGCCUCAGCCUCCCCAGCUGCUGUACUUAAUGUGUCUCGGUUGGUGUUUGUAGGUAGAAUGUGAGGUUACCUUUGAUGGCUGUUCUGUUUUGGGUCCAGCCUAGGGCCCCACACGUGCUGGGCCAGCUCUGUGUGACGAGGUGCGUCCUGGGCCUGGUGUUAGCCAAGGUGUCUGUGCACUUUUAGGAGUGGGGAGCAGAUGUUUUAGCUGGUUUGGCCACAAGCUAUCAGAGAUGAACUUCUCUUACUUCUCUUCCUCUUCGUUCUUUGAUCCUUACAAUUAAAUUUAGGACAGCUCAGAAUUUUUGUCUUAUUGAUAACUAACAUUUAACUGCUGGGUGUGGUGGCACACGCUCGUGAUCCCAGUACUUGGAAGGCUGAGGCAGGAGGAUCACUACAAGUUUGAGGCCAGUCUGGGCUACAUAGUGAGUUCAAAGACAGCUUGAACUACAUGGCAAAACCCUGUCUCAAAACUAAAACAAAAACAUUUAACUCAAUGUUCUGAAUUACCAAGUGUUACUCUUUUAAAAUAAUUAUAUGAAAAUAAUCUGGCCCUCUAGAUUUUGUUAUUCAAGGGCGAAGCAUCAUCCAAUCCCGUAGUUAGGCUGGGGCAGAGGAAAUAAAAGGGCAGUGAUCAGAUUUGGGAGGAGAAGGAGGGUCUUUCUGUGUAGCCCAGGUUGGCCUCUAAAUCCUCCUGCCUUGGCCUCCUAAAUGAUGGGGUUACAGGUGUGUGCCAUGGUACCAGGCGCAACAAGAUAAGCUUUUUUGGGGGAAAAAAAGAUUUGAGUUAAAGUUUUUCAUUUUUAACUGAAGGAAGAUUGCACGCUAGGGUAGCGUCUGAGUAGCACUAGCUGUACCAUGAGACGGGAGCUUCCGCAGCCAGGGUCAGCACCAGAGGUGGGUUCUGUGUGCUCUCUAGAACUUUUUGUGCUGCCCUAAACUUAUUUCUAAUUUCUCUCUCUCUUUUUUUUUUUUUUGGUACCAGGGAUUGAACUCGGGUCCUUGAGCUUGCGCAGCAGGCGGCGAAACCACUGAGCUGAAUCCCCACCCCCCUAAACUUAUAUUUAAUAUUUUUCUUUUACAAAAAUUAGAACAUGGGCCUGGGAUGUAGCUCAGUGGCUCUGUGUUUGCCUCGAAAGAGCAAGGUCCUAAGCUCCUCCACCGCCAUCCCAAGCUCCUAGGGCAGAGAAGGUGAGCCACGUGGGCGCCAGAAGCACCGCCCCCCCCCCCCCGCCCCGUGGAAAUGAGAAGACACAUAAACAAGCCUCAAAAACAGACUUCUGGAUCACCUACAGCAACCCCAAAGAGAAACGAGAUGGAACAAUCUGAUACUCAACCACCUGGACUCUCUGAACUGGCAACAAAAGAGGAUCUGGGAAAAAUGAAAUCAGAAAUAAUUUCUCAGAUAACAGCAAAGAUUUUGCUCAUGGUGCAAGACAUGAAAGAGCAAGGUCCUGAGUUCAAUCCUUACCACCAUCAAAAAAAAAAAAUUAAGGCAUACUGCCAUCCCUGUAUCAACUCACUCAGUACUACAUUUUGGCAGUCUUGCUAAAUUUACUUUGUUUUCUUAAAUAACUGCCUAAUAAGCUGUUUCUGACAAUGCUACCAUCAUUUAAUUGAAUAGAUCUCCAAGUUGAAGGACCCUGGGGCUGCUUUUAAUGUUUGGUAUUUGAGUUAAAUUUUAAAUAAGAGAAGAGACACACAUUGAUGAAGGGAGGAUUCUAGGUUAUGAAAAAAAAUCUUGAUUGAUCGAUCGAUUGAUUGUAGAACUGGGGAUUGAACCCAAGGGUUUCCCCAUGUUAGGGAAGCACUCUACCACUGAGCUACCUCCCUGUCCCUUUUCUUUUUAUUUUGAGACAGAGCCUUGCUAAAUGGUCCAGGCAGGCCUUGAACAUGGAAUCCUCCUGCCUCAGCCUCUGGAGUAGCUGGGAGUAUAGGUGUGGGUCACCAUGCCUGGCUUGGAAAGAUGUUUAUACAUAAACAGGGGACCCUAGCAUUUUUGUCUCAGGAGCUACUCUUGCUUGUGGAAGUGAACAUAUUAAUGAGGACGGAGGUGGGAAAGAAUGGAUGUUUGUGCAGGCCUUUGAGUCUGUGAGUUGGGCUGUGACAUGUCGCACAGGACUGGGGAGAAGCUGGCCACAGCUCCUCUAGACCAGGAGAGGAGCUGCCCCAGGAUCCCUCCGGAGACGCACGCUCUUGCUAUCCCCAGCUGUCCCCCUUAUUGUCAACCGACCAUUAGCAUGGUUUUCUGGGCCCCGUUUUCAAGCUAGAAACGUGAAGGGUUCGAAAGGACACAGGAGAGACCUAGAGCUUUUGGGGAAAUUUGUUCAGGGAGAUGAGACUCGAGAAGCGAGCCUUAUGUCUCAGGCUGCCUCCCACCAGUUCCUCCAUUCUGUCCUCUGCCUGCUGAUGUUGGAAGAAUCAGUCUGGAAGCUGCUGUUUACCAGUGGCAUAGUCUUGAGUAACAUCUCCAAGCUUCAGUUCCUCCAUCCAUAAAAUGGGCAGAAUGUUCAACUGGCAGCAGUGUGGGGAAGAUUGAAUGAGUUGAUGGAUGUGGAGGGUCUGUGUUUCAUUUUGCCUUUCUUUCCCAAGGCCUGGCCAGAGUAGAGUUUACGAGGCAGUGUGCCAUCUACCCUAAGAUGAUAGAGAAAAGCAUAUUCUACUCUUCCCUGGGCCGGCCGGCCAAUGUUGUAGCUGGCUGUUGGUCUAGUGAUGUUUUUGGGGUCUCCAGAGCAACCUGUGACCUGAAGCCAACUCUGAAAGAGGAGGAGUGGGUCAAAGACAUAGAGAUCAAAGAUUAGACAGGACAGGGUGCUUAGAGUGCUAGAUUUGGAAUUUUAAAAAAGGAAAGUGAAGAAUUAAUUUUACUCAGAGAAGUCUGGCCUGGGUCUUUAGCUGCUGGGAGAUGGUGUCUCGCCUGGGGAUGUCCUGCCUGGCGGGAAGAUCUGUUUGCCUGAGGAGCCUGGCCAGCAGGUGGCUGAGCAGUGUGAUUCAUAAUGGGGCUUUGCACCUGGCCGCAUCAGUCCCCACGGAAGGGAGACGAAAGGGCAUCCUUGGCACGGAAUCCUGGGGUGAGCAUCCUGGUAAGCAGGAUGCUUCAGCUUUGCCUCCCCAAGAGACUGGGAGGAAGAGAUGACAGGAGAAGACAGAAGCUUUGUGUUCGGGCCCUUUUCAGAGUUUGCCCUGUGUGUUCUUUUGGCAGCUUCUGAUUUGUAUCCUUUUGCUAUAAUAAAACUUUAAUUGUAAGUAUUUUGCUUUCCUGAGUUCUGUGAGUUAUUCUAGUAAAUGAUCAAACCAGAGGAGACAGCAGGCCCCCUGGACUUGUGUCUGCAGACACAGAGGGCCUGGAGGUGCCUGGCAGAUCUCCAGAACUCCUUAC
rnacentral:lncRNA from 1 species